UGCAAGCUGAAAUGAAUUGUUUUCUGCUUU
rnacentral:piRNA from 1 species